rnacentral:rRNA from 1 species
AACGUAGGAGACAAACGUUAUCCGGAGUUACUGGGCGUAAAGGGCGUGUAGGUGGUAGAGUAAGUCUGGCGUGAAAUUUUUCGGCUUAACCGGGAAAGGUCGUCGGAUACUGCUUAACUAGAGGACGGUAGAGGCGUGUGGAAUUCCGGGUGUAGUGGUGAAAUGCGUAGAGAUCCGGAGGAACACCAGUGGCGAAGGCGACACGCUGGGCCGUACCUGAUGCUGAGGCGCGACAGCGUGGGGAGCAAACAGG